rnacentral:rRNA from 1 species
GACGAACGCUGGCGGCGUGCUUAACACAUGCAAGUGGAGCGACGAACCAGGGCUUGCCCUGGGGCAGAGCCGCGAACGGGUGAGUAACAUGUGGGUAACGUGCCCCGAUGACUGGGACAACCCGGGGAAACCCGGGCUAAUACCGGAUGUGCCCCCUCACAUCAGUGAGGUGUGUAAAGGAAGCUUCGGCCUCCGCAUCGGGAUCGGCCCGCGGCCCAUUAGCUUGUUGGUGAGGUAACGGCUCACCAAGGCUGCGAUGGGUAGCUGGUCUGAGAGGACGAUCAGCCACACUGGGACUGAGACACGGCCCAGACUCCUACGGGAGGCAGCAGUGGGGAAUCUUGCGCAAUGCGCGAAAGCGUGACGCAGCAACGCCGCGUGGGGGAAGACGGCCUUCGGGUUGUAAACCCCUUUCAGUUGGGACGAAGGUCGGGCGGUUAACAGCCGUUCCGGCUGACGGUACCUUCACAAGAAGCCCCGGCUAACUACGUG